rnacentral:misc_RNA from 1 species
CUGACACGAGGGAGGCGGCCGGGAGAUGACUGCAAGCAGUGGCGGUCGAGUAGUCACGCCCGUGGAAAGGAGGCUGUCGAUGGCACCGCUGCCUCCCUGCACGAUCUGCCUGGGGUGGGCGGCGGAACUAGAACUGGCCUGUUCAUCGGUGCCAGGUCGCUUCAAGAGUUUCCUGAUGAAGAACGAAGGAUACACACCACCAGAGUAGCACUGGCACUUUCAGUCAUGGAACCCGAGUUAAUCUGUCAUGGAGACAGACACAGGGACAGGGGAGAGAGGCACCCCGGCCCGGCGCGCACGUACCUUGUAGUACAUGUCAGCGCGAGCAAAGUCGGCGUCGAGGCCGAGAGGGAGAAAGGGAAGAAGGCGUACGUGGAGGAGGUGGUGGUGUGA